rnacentral:rRNA from 1 species
UACAGAGGUGGCAAGCGUUGUUCGGAAUUACUGGGCGUAAAGGGCGCGUAGGCGGCCUUCUAAGUCAGACGUGAAAUCCCCCGGCUUAACCUGGGAACUGCGUCUGAUACUGGAAGGCUUGAGUGCGGGAGAGGGAUGUGGAAUUCCAGGUGUAGCGGUGAAAUGCGUAGAUAUCUGGAGGAACACCGGUGGCGAAGGCGGCUUCCUGGACCGACACUGACGCUGAGGCGCGAAAGCUAGGGGAGCAAACGGG